AUGGCGGUGCUGCUGCGCCCGGCGGCGAUCGCCGGCGGCCGGCAGGUGUGGCCGGUGGCGGAGGAGCAGGCCGACGCCGCGGCGGCGGCCUCCCAGCGGCUCGUGGAGGCGGUGGCGCGCGGCGACUCGAGGGAGGCGGGCGAGCUGCUCGCGUCCGGGCGCGCCGACGUGAACUACGCCGGGGUGGUGUGGCUCGACGCGCGGCGGGUGGCGGAGACGGCGCUGCGGGAGGGCGCCGCCGCCGAGCUGCGCGCGUCGCGCGAGGAGAUCCGCGCCGACGUCUCCCCGCUCUUCCUCGCCGCCGGCAAUGGGGACGUCGCGCUCGUCCGCGCGCUGCUCGCAAAGGGGGCGGACGUGAACGGGAAGGUGUUCCGUGGGUACCCGGCGACGGCAGCGGCGCGGGAGGGGCGCGCGGAGGUGGCGGAGCUGCUGGUGCGGGCCGGUGCGUCGCAGCCGGCCUGCGAGGAGGCCAUCGUGGAGGCGGCGCUGCAGGGGCAGGCUGCCCUGGCGGCCAUCUUCAUGCGCUCCGACCUCGUCCGCCCGCGCGUCGCCGUGCACGCGCUCGUGUCUGCUGCUACUCGCGGCUUCGUCGACGUGGUCGACACGCUCGUCAAGUGUGGGGCUGAUCCAAACGCGACCUCCCGGGUGCUUCUGCGUUCUCUCAAGCCAUCACUGCACCUCAACGUCGACUGCACAGCGCUCUUUGCCGCGAUCGUGAGCCGGCAAGUCGCCGUGGUUCGUCAGCUACUUCAGGCUGGUGUGAAGAGGGACACCAAGGUGAGGCUUGGAGCGUGGUCCUGGGACGCGGCCACCGGGGAAGAGCUGCGCGUCGGCGCGGGUCUCGCGGAGCCCUACGAUGCGGCCUGGUGCGCCGUGGAGUACUACGAGUCCACCGGCUCCAUCCUCCGCAUGCUCCUGCAGAACGGGUACUCGUCGGGCGCCACGCACCUUGGCCGGACGCUGCUCCACCACGCCAUCCUCUGCGGCAGCGUCGGCGCCGUCGAGACGCUGCUGGCUUCUGGCGCGGAAUGCGAAGCUCCCGUGAGGACGUCCCGCAGCGGCAGGUUCAGGCCUGUUCACUUGGCCGCGCGCCUCGGCCAGCAGGAGAUCCUGCAGACGCUCACGGACAAGGGCUGCGACGUCAACGCCAGGGCUGAGGCUGGCGAUGUCGCCAUCAUCCUGGCUGCGCGCCACAAGCAAGAGGACUGCCUCAGGGUUCUCGUGUCAGCCGGAGCGGACGUCGCGCUGUUGAACUUGGCAGGCGAGUCCGCGGCUUCCGUCGCUUCUUCGGGCGGCUGGAAGGCGGGCUUCGAACGCGCCGUUCUUGGCGCGAUUCGGUCCGGAACCAUCCCUCUGUCCAGCGAUCGGCACGUGUUCUCGCCCAUGAUGUUCACGGCACGAUGCGGCGAUGCCGCCGCGCUGGAGGUGCUGCUCGCCCAGCCCGGCGUGGACGUGGACGAGCAGGACGCUGACGGGUGCUCGCCCAUAAUGGCCGCCGCCAAGGAGGGCAACGUUGACGCCUUCCGCGCCCUCGUCUUCGCCGGCGCCAACGUGAGGCUGUGCAACAAGCGUGGCGAGACGGCUAUCGGGCUCGCGCAGCAGAGCAAGAAGAGGGACCUCUUCGAGCAGGUCAUGCUGGAGUUCGCGCUGGAGAAGGGCAUGCCGGCAGGCGGGUUCUACGCCCUGCACUGCGCGUCCCGGCGCGGCGACAGCGCGGCCGUGCAUCACCUGGCGAGCACGGACUACGACGUCAACAUGCCGGACGGCGACGGCUACACUCCGCUCAUGCUGGCCGCGAGAGAAGGCCAUGCAACCGUGUGCGAGCUCCUGAUCUCCCAUGGCGCCCGGUGCGACAUCCAGACCCCGCGGGGCGAGACUGCGCUCUCCCUCGCGCGGUCGGCUUUGGCCACCGCGGCGUUCAACAAGGCCGAGGACGUGAUCAUGGACGAGCUGGGCCGGCAGCUGGUGCUGGCGGGCGCGCGCGUCGUCAAGCACACCAAGGGCGGGCGCGGGAGGCCGCACGGCAAGUCGCUGCGGAUGGUCACCGCCGCCGGCGUGCUCCGGUGGGGCGGGUCGAGCCGGCGCAACGUGAUGUGCGUGGAGGCCGAGGUCGGGGGCAGCUCGGCGUUCCAGCGGCACCGGCAGAGGAAGGGCCGCCGAGGGGACGACGCGUACGCGCCGGGGCUGUUCCGCGUGGUCACGGCGACGGGGAAGGAGGUGCACUUCGUGUGCCAGGGCGGGGAGGAGGCGGCGGAGCUGUGGGUGCGGGGCAUCAGGGCGCUCACUAGGGCGGUGUUCGGCAAGCGGGGGAACUAG
rnacentral:rRNA from 1 species